UACGGAGGGGGUUAGCGUUGUUCGGAAUGACUGGGCGUAAAGCGCGCGUAGGCGGGCUGGAAAGUCAGGGGUGAAAUCCCGGGGCUCAACCCUGGAAUGGCCUUUGAAACUCCCAGCCUUGAGUUCGAGAGAGGUGAGUGGAAUUCCGAGUGUAGAGGUGAAAUUCGUAGAUAUUCGGAAGAACACCAGUGGCGAAGGCGACUUACUGGACACAUAUUGACGCUGAGGCGCGAAAGCUAGGGUAGCAAACGGG
rnacentral:rRNA from 1 species